GUGUGACACACUACAACAAUAAUACGGAAGAGGUGGGAAUCAGGUGACACCGCUCCCGUACAGCUGAAUUGUAGUUCUGACAGUAAAAGCCAGACUGCAUUAUGGAGGACCAGGAGAUGCAACUGAAAGUCAGAAGGGUGACUGACAAGUUCACGGAGAGCAUGUACGUCCUGGCUAACGAGCCGUCGGUGGCUCUCUACAGGCUGCAGGAGCACGUCAGGAGGUCGCUGCCAGAACUAGUCCAGCACAAGACAGAUAUGCAGAGCUGGGAGGAACAAAGUCAAGGAGCCAUCUACACUGUAGAGUACGCAUGCAGUGCCGUGAAGAGCAUGAACAACAGCAGCUUAUAUUUCAAAAACAUUGACAGUCUUCUCCGUCAAGCCACCAGCAUGAAGGAACAGAUUAAUAAUUCUCAAGGGCGCAGAGCUGGUGUCAGACGAUUAGCUACCAAGUGGAAAGGUGGUGGAUCCAUCCACAGCUCCUACAGUGUGUUAGUUAAAAGCAGUUAAGUAAAAAUAAAAGUACUGUAUGAAUAUGUGUGUGGUUGGGUCAUAGGACUUGGAGUAGAAAGCACUUUCAGUGUUCAAAUUGAACUGUAAGGUACUAUGCAAGUGCCAGUCCAUUUACAAUUUACGUUAUUUUUUUUGCACUACAUCAUACCAUUCAUCAUUUUAUUUUUUUUGUUUUAUUUAUUUUAUUUUAUCCUUCAUCUAAUGUAAUAUAUCAUUUAAUAUAUUGCUUUUCAUUAAAGUUUGUUUCCCCUGUAAAUUCAAAAUCGUAAUCCAGACAUUUCUGAAUACUUUGUAGUUACUAGAAGCGUCAUACUUUCUGUUUGAUUUGUCUGUGUUGUUUUUUAUUUUAUUUUCCACCUUUUUUCCCUCCCACACUGACAACUGCAUGCAGCUUAAAUGAUGUGAGUCCCUGUCCCAGCCCCAUUGUCACUGCUCCACAUGCCCCAUCCACUUCCUCAUGACAGACAGAGGUGUCCAAGGAAAAGGACAAUGGACUCAGGCAUGCUGAAGGAGGUGGGAGAAAAGCACAGCUCUGGGAUGUGAUGCGACUUCCUAAGUUGGUGGCGUUGCCUUUAAAGUAUUGCCCUGCUACCUACUGACUGUGGCUGAAGUGGGUUUAGAAGGGCAACACCUCCUCAUCACAAUAGAGUGGCUGCCUACACUGACCCCCCCGCCCCCGUACAAGCCUCUCAGUGGAACAGAGCAUACCAGCGCUGCUAGGUCCAGCAUUAAAAACACUUAAGUCAUGGCUGCUCAAAGAAUGCAUUGUUCUGUUGGACUCACUGGUCGGAUCAGGGAGACAGCAGCACUGCUGUUUUGCUACUGCUGUUGAAAGUCCACUGCACAGCCAAUGUUUUAAAAAUUAGUUCUCUUUUUGUGUGUUUGUUCUGUUUAACAUUUUGCCAGAUGGUACAACAUAUGCUUAAACAAAAGUACAGAUACUUUUUUUUUUUUGCUCAGGCUUACCUAUUAAAUAGACGGAAACCCCCAGACAGAAGAGUCCAAUAGCCACAUGUCGUACUGCUCUGCUGUCCAGAAGGAACCAAUCUGCUCUGUUGAAAGAAAUCUGAUCUGUUUAGUGCACAAGUACAUUGCAUUACUUAAAAUAACAACAAUAUAUUUUUUUUUGUUUUUGAUAUGUUCAUUUUCUUUGCUAUAUAAUAAAGUAUUAACUUUUUGUCUUGCAAAA